rnacentral:rRNA from 1 species
GAACGCUAGCGGCAGGCUUAACACAUGCAAGUCGAGGGGUAUUGGUUUUCGGACCAAGAGACCGGCGCACGGGUGCGUAACGCGUAUGCAAUCUACCUUUUACAGGGGAAUAGCCCAGAGAAAUUUGGAUUAAUGCCCCAUAGUAUAUUUGGUUGGCAUCAACCUAAUAUUAAAGUUCCAACGGUAAAAGAUGAGCAUGCGUCCCAUUAGUUAGUUGGUAAGGUAACGGCUUACCAAGACAAUGAUGGGUAGGGGUCCUGAGAGGGAGAUCCCCCACACUGGUACUGAGACACGGACCAGACUCCUACGGGAGGCAGCAGUGAGGAAUAUUGGACAAUGGGCGCAAGCCUGAUCCAGCCAUGCCGCGUGCAGGAAGACGGU